CAAUGCUAGUAUACAAGUUGCACCAACCAUACAAGAGGAGGAAGAGACCGCUGGAUAUGAAAAUGAAAAUGAAGAUGGGUUACAGGAGACUCAGCCAGGAAGUGAUGUCACUGUACAAAACGGUGCACCAGCACCUACUCGCUCCACUAGAAGUACUGCACCUCCCAGCAAAGCUCUUUUUAAUGAAAACACUACAAAUGUGACUGCAUCGAAGACAUAUAUCACUUCACAGCAGCUGAUGAAUAGAACAAGAAAUAAUCUCAAAAGGAGGAAGUAGGUGGACAAGGUUUCAGUGGGAGGCUCAUAAUCAAGCGAGGACGUAGCCAAGGAGAUGAUAUGUUGGGCUGCCACAAAUUUCUCAUGUUCUGCAUUGAUUAGGAAGUUUGUAAAAAGUUAUCAAAUAAUAAGUUAAUUGUACACUAAUUUAUGGUUUUAGCCACUAUUUCAUGGG